rnacentral:rRNA from 1 species
AGCGAACGCUGGCGGCAGGCCUAAUACAUGCAAGUCGAACGAAGAUCUAGCUUGCUAGAUCUUAGUGGCGAACGGGUGAGUAAUACAUAAAUAAUCUGCCCAUAUGACUGGGAUAACUAUUGGAAACGAUAGCUAAUACCGGAUAGGUUGAUUGGAGGCAUCUCUGAUUAAUUAAAGUAGGAUUUCUACACAAAUGGAUGAGUUUAUGGCGCAUUAGUUAGUUGGUGGGGUAACGGCCUACCAAGACGAUGAUGCGUAGCCGACCUGAGAGGGUGACCGGCCACACUGGGACUGAGACACGGCCCAGACUCCUACGGGAGGCAGCAGUAGGGAAUUUUCGGCAAUGGGCGCAAGCCUGACCGAGCAACGCCGCGUGAGUGAUUAAGGCCUUCGGGUUGUAAAGCUCUGUUGUAAGGGAAGAACAUUCAGGAUAGGAAAUGAUCUUGAACUGACGGUACCUUACCAGAAAGCCACGGCUAACUACGUGCCAGCAGCCGCCGUAACAC